rnacentral:misc_RNA from 1 species
UUUACUUCGCUUCCCCUCUUUGGGGGAUGUGAAAAAAUCACCAUUGACCUUGGUCUUGGGGCACUUUUUGGGCCUCAUUUCUCGGUUGAAAUCUGGCUAGUUUUUUCUUUAACUGGUAAUUACCUUUUGGUAGACUCUCUACAAAAAAGUUUUGCCCGAGAAAAAAGUUAGGCGAGCGUCAAGCUCCACUCUCUCAAAC